AAAGGAGGAGAAGGGAGAAAGGAGGAGAAGGGAGAAAGGAGAAAAGGCUUUUUAAAGAACAGUAUCAUUGCUCCAAAAUUUAGGAAUAAGGGCAAAAGUUCAGACUGCAGAAAAUCCACAGCUAAUAAGUAUAUGCAUACAGGAGGUACUGCAUUGGACAUUAAAAGUUUUGAAUGGCAUGCCAUAUGACCAAUUCCCCCCAAAAUAAGAUCCUAAAAUGAAAAUGUAAACCAAUUUCUACAGUAAAGGUUAUUUUAAAACAAUAUGCAUUUAUGAAAUAAGAUAUACUCUUACUCAAAUCUACUUCCUCACUUUGUACAGAAUUUGUGCUAAAAGUAAGUUUGAAGAGACCAAUUCUAGGUUAGUGUACAAGAAACAUGGUUUCAAUCCAAAGCUUACUUACAGUGACUGAAACAAGCUAGUCUACACCGGUAUGUCACACUAACAUUUCUCUGAACAAAUGCAUUAUUUUCAGAUGUUGCCAAGGCAAUGUUUUAUAUCAGCAAUUCUACACUUUGAUUUAAACAAAACCAGCAAUAACAUAGAAGUGACAAAUCCAGCCGUGAUGAGAUGCUACCACAAUUCUGCAUAGGUGGCAGCUUGAAAAUCCACCUCUUUCAUUUUACUAAAAUUUCUUGGAUUACAAAGACUUUUGGAUUUACAGAUUCCCUACCACAUCCCACACCCCAUUUUCAAACACUGUAAAACGUCAAGAUUUUGCUUAACAGAACAAGAUCCUGAAAUAUAGCCAAACACAACCAGUCUGUCCUUAAGGACAAGACCACAGAAAGAACAGAAUACUAAACUACUGUAGAAGGAAUGACAAAAAGUUUUGUCUUGAAAUUAAUACCCUAGCUAUCAAAUCAAUACAAGACGAUUAUUCUAGUUUUUGAAAAGGAAAGGAGCUAGUUAAAUCUGUUAGCAAGGACUUCCAAAACCAUACUUUGCAACUCACAAACAAUCCUCUCAAACCCACAAGAGGUACAUGCCACCCAUCUUGACCCACAAAGAACCAAGCAAAACAGGACUCUGGAAUAGCCCAUUAAAAUGGGACCAAGCAACAGAACUGAAAACACGCUCCUCCUGCAGUUUUAGGCUCCAUUUCAGCCAGCGUAGCUGCAUGAUGUCACCCCGUCAUCCAUUCUUACCUGCUUCCUCAGCAUCUCUUUGCCAGUUGCUUUUCAGGCAGCUCAGUAAGCUGACCCAGCUACCUACAGCUGAUCUUUCUUGCAGAAUUAGUUGUCAGCCACACAAGCAGACCUCACUCACACCACCACAGCCACACAUCGACUGGAGGUAACAUAAGGGAAGCAGCGAGAGCUCACAGCCAGUGACUAGAGCAGCAGCAAUUCUUUUGGCAGCAGCCUGGUCUUGGAGCAAUUCGAGCUGACCACUGGGCUCAACUACCAACAUCAGUGCCAGCACAAGGAGGAAAAAAGCAAGAGCAGAGUUCUCCAUCUACCUUCUCUCUCCACACCAAACUUCUACAUCAGAAAGCCAUGAUGUAAAACCACAUGCUCAGUCUUGUGACUGAAGGCAUCUCAUUUAUAAACUGACACCAUUGAUUCCAAUGUAAGGGACAUGAACAAGGCUGUGAAGGUUGGAGUGAACACCCAAGAACUGGCAAUAAAUAGCAAAGAUGAAGAACCAGUCCACCAAAUGGGGUAUUCUAUAUGCAAAUCUAGGAAUCAACACAAAGUUGUGGAGCCCCAAAAGUUUUGACAUAGAUCUGGGUCUACCAGGACAAAAAUACUGAGGUAAAGAGAUGAUAUUAGAACACCUGUAAAAUGAUAAGAAUACACAUUCCUUUCUGCCAUGCAAGACAAACACUAGCUUGGACACGCAGGACAUCUGAGGGCAGGAACAAACUGCAAGACACUCUAACUCUAAUAGCUUGUUCAACUACUGACAGGGUAGCAGCUUUUUCCAGCAGUGCAGUGAUUGUCUACUGCCCUAUCCUUCUCCUGGUUGCUGCUCCUCCCUCCUGUUAGAGUCACUGAGUCACAGAAUAUUCUGAGUUGGGAGAUCUGACUUUUAAGCCAUGAUGAAUCACCUCUACUCGUCACACUCUGGAGAUGGAGAGCUCUUGUAGCAGAUAGGACUCAGACAUCAGGAGCACUGUAUUUUUCAAGAAAAUAUAUUUGUGAAAAACAAUAGUAAGUUACAAAUUUAUAGCUCAAGCACUUUUGCUGGUAGGAUAAGUAUCCUGGGGAAGGGAGCAGAGGGACCAAAGCCUAUGGGAAACAGGUUUUCCAGAGAUGAGAACAGAUACAAGGGAAGAGUUUUGGAGAAACAGACCAGCCAGUCACAGAUAAAGAACAUGAAACUGGGUCUUUUUGGUGAAGUACAGUACAGAGAAGAACAGCAUGUAAGCGUUGAUUGGGUAGCAGCAACUGCAGAACUAUAGGUAGUUCUCCGCCUUCUGCUUUCUGUAUCUACACACAUUCUUCCACACCUCUGCAUCUAAAAGCAGACACUUUGGAAGGAGACCAGAUUCUUCAGUCUCUGCACAACAAGCUCCUCCCCUCAACAAUAAAAACCUUUGCCCCACUGAGUUUA